GGCUAAUUGGGCCCAAUUUGGACAUUUUCACUUAGGGAUAUACUCACUUUUGUUGCCAGCGGUUUUGACAUUAAUGGCUGUGUGUUGAGUUAUUUUCAGAGGACAGCAAAUUUACACUGUUACACAAGCUGUACACUCACUACUUUGCAUUGUAGCAAAGUGUCAUUUCUUCAGUGUUGUCACAUGAAAAGAUAUAAUCAAAUAUUUACAAAAAUCUCACUUUUGUGAGAUACUGUAUAUAGUGCUUUUUUAAUCUUAACAGUUCCACAAAGUGCUUUACACUAGUUCUCAUUCACCCAUUCACACGGCAAUGGUAUGUGCCAUGCAAGGUGCUAGGGUGCCAUUGGGAACAACUUGGGGUUUGGUGUCUUGCCCAAGGACACUUCAGCCAGGAAUCGAAACACCAACCCUACAAUUAGUGGACAACCCACUCUACUACCUGAGCCACAGCCACCCACGCGGGUCAUAAGAGGACUGCACAGGAAAAGUCUAAAAAGAGGGUUCUUGCAAAGGGCGAAAAUUCGAGCAAUUAUUCUUUGACUGGAGCGCGGUAUGUCAGCGAGAUUACGGCGGCUUCCAGUGCACCUGCCCCGGCUGGGUGCUCACGAUGAACCCGGGGAUUCAUUUGCGGCCUACAAGACCGCCUGACUAUUCAGGCUAGUAAUGCACAUGUUUAUGCUUUAAUGAUGUUUAUGUUCCCACUUAACAUUCCUUUUGUGUAGAAAAACUAGACAAUGCAAGUUUCUGUCGUCAUGUAUCCCAUUGGGCUGUAGACCUGUACGCGUGUAGCAGACACACCUCUCACUCCUUCUCUCUGCUGCAAACAGCUACAUGGGAGAACUUUACCCACAGGAUUUGAAUUGACAACAGGAACAACUAUUUAAGGACGACAGCGAGUUUCAAUGGAUACUAUCUACUCACGCGUCAAAUUUGUUGUUCAUUAUUUCCUAAGUUCCGGCCUUUCUCCGCUCGCUGUUCCGGAGGCCGACCCGUCAAAUCCGCAGCAUCAGAGCACGAGCAUCCUGG